ACGUAGGGGGCAAGCGUUAUCCGGAUUUACUGGGUGUAAAGGGAGCGUAGACGGCUGUGCAAGCCUGAAGUGAAAGGCAUGGGCUCAACCUGUGGACUGCUUUGGAAACUGUGCAGCUAGAGUGUCGGAGAGGUAAGUGGAAUUCCUAGUGUAGCGGUGAAAUGCGUAGAUAUUAGGAGGAACACCAGUGGCGAAGGCGGCUUACUGGACGAUGACUGACGUUGAGGCUCGAAAGCGUGGGGAGCAAACAG
rnacentral:rRNA from 1 species